AUCCCUGUGGCACAAUGAAUAGCGCGUUGGAUUUCGAAUUCAAAGGUAGUGGGUUCUAAUUUCACCUGGGAUG